AGCAGCUUGCUGCUUCGCUGACGAGUGGCGGACGGGUGAGUAAUGUCUGGGAAACUGCCUGAUGGAGGGGGAUAACUACUGGAAACGGUAGCUAAUACCGCAUAACGUCGCAAGACCAAAGAGGGGGACCUUCGGGCCUCUUGCCAUCGGAUGUGCCCAGAUGGGAUUAGCUUGUUGGUGGGGUAACGGCUCACCUAGGCGACGAUCCCUAGCUGGUCUGAGAGGAUGACCAGCCACACUGGAACUGAGACACGGUCCAGACUCCUACGGGAGGCAGCAGUGGGGAAUAUUGCACAAUGGGCGCAAGCCUGAUGCAGCCAUGCCGCGUGUAUGAAGAAGGCCUUCGGGUUGUAAAGUACUUUCAGCGGGGAGGAAGGGAGUAAAGUUAAUACCUUUGCUCAUUGACGUUACCCGCAGAAGAAGCACCGGCUAACUCCGUGCCAGCAGCCGCGGUAAUACGGAGGGUGCAAGCGUUAAUCGGAAUUACUGGGCGUAAAGCGCACGCAGGCGGUUUGUUAAGUCAGAUGUGAAAAU
rnacentral:rRNA from 1 species